GCUCAGGACGAACGCUGGCGGCGCGCCUAACACAUGCAAGUCGAACGAGCGAGAGAGAGCUUGCUUUCUCGAGCGAGUGGCGAACGGGUGAGUAACGCGUGAGGAACCUGCCUCAAAGAGGGGGACAACAGUUGGAAACGACUGCUAAUACCGCAUAAGCCCACGACCCGGCAUCGGGUUGAGGGAAAAGGAGCAAUCCGCUUUGAGAUGGCCUCGCGUCCGAUUAGCUAGUUGGUGAGGUAACGGCCCACCAAGGCAACGAUCGGUAGCCGGACUGAGAGGUUGAACGGCCACAUUGGGACUGAGACACGGCCCAGACUCCUACGGGAGGCAGCAGUA
rnacentral:rRNA from 1 species